rnacentral:rRNA from 1 species
UACGUAGGGGGCGAGCGUUGUCCGGAUUUAUUGGGCGUAAAGAGCUCGUAGGCGGCUUGGCAAGUCGGGUGUGAAAACUCCAGGCUCAACCUGGAGACGCCACUCGAGACUGCUAUGGCUAGAGUCCGGUAGGGGACCACGGAAUUCCUGGUGUAGCGGUGAAAUGCGCAGAUAUCAGGAGGAACACCGGUGGCGAAGGCGGUUCUCUGGGCCUGACCUGACGCUGAGGAGCGAAAGCGUGGGGAGCGAACAGG